GACGAACGCUGGCGGCGUGCUUAACACAUGCAAGUCGAACGGAAAGGCCCUGCUUUUGUGGGGUGCUCGAGUGGCGAACGGGUGAGUAACACGUGAGUAACCUGCCCUUGACUUUGGGAUAACUUCAGGAAACUGGGGCUAAUACCGGAUAGGAGCUCCUGCUGCAUGGUGGGGGUUGGAAAGUUUCGGCGGUUGGGGAUGGACUCGCGGCUUAUCAGCUUGUUGGUGGGGUAGUGGCUUACCAAGGCUUUGACGGGUAGCCGGCCUGAGAGGGUGACCGGCCACAUUGGGACUGCGAUACGGCCCAGACUCCUACGGGAGGCAGCAGUGGGGAAUAUUGCACAAUGGGCGGACGCCUGAUGCAGCAACGCCGCGUGCGGGAUGACGGCCUUCGGGUUGUAACCCGCUUUCGCCUGUGACGAAGCGUGAGUGACGGUAAUGGGUAAAGAAGCCCCGGCUAACUACGUG
rnacentral:rRNA from 1 species